rnacentral:rRNA from 1 species
AGUGAGCGCUGGCGGUAGGCCUAACACAUGCAAGUCGAACGGCAGCACAGUAAGAGCUUGCUCUUACGGGUGGCGAGUGGCGGACGGGUGAGGAAUAUAUCGGAAUCUACUUUUUCGUGGGGGAUAACGUAGGGAAACUUACGCUAAUACCGCAUACGACCUACGGGUGAAAGCAGGGGAUCUUCGGACCUUGCGCGAUUGAAUGAGCCGAUGUUGGAUUAGCUAGUUGGCGGGGUAAAGGCCCACCAAGGCGACGAUCCGUAGCUGGUCUGAGAGGAUGAUCAGCCACACUGGAACGUAGACACGGUCCAGGCUCCUGCGGGAGGCAGCAGUGUGGAAUAUUGGACAAUGGGCGCAAGCCUGAUCCAGCCAUACCGCGUGGGUGAAGAAGGCGUUCGGGUUGGAAAGCCCUUUUGUUGGGAAAGAAAAGCAGCAGGUUAAUACCCCGCUGUUCUGACGGUACCCAAAGAAUAAGCACCGGCUAACUUCGUG